AUCCUCAAUGCCUUUUUCCCGCCCAACAGUACCAUCCCUUUUUUUUAUCAUCUCUCUUCUCAUCUUUUUUCUUUUGAAACGCCGUUCCUUCUCUCUUUAUAUCCAGUGCGAUUCAAACUUCACAAACCCUAACCCCUUUAACCAUCGCCACCGCCAAGAUCUUUCUUUUGUGCUAUCAAAGAUCAAACCAAAUCAUCUCAUCAUGAAUCAUUCGAAGCGUCACCAGGUAAGCUAACUCGGUUUUGGUUGAUUUUGUAGCCCUAACUCGGUUUUGUUGAUUCAGUGCGAUUCAAACUUCACAAACCCUAAGAUUUUGGGGUUUGAUAUUCAGAUUAGGUUAUAAUAUACUGUUAAGGUAACCGAUUUGAAAUCUUUUUUUUUAAAUUGGUUAGAUAUUGAUUGUUUUUUCUCUGCAACUUGCUAAUACUCAAUAGAGAAAGAUGUUGAUGUUGAUGAUUUUAGUGUUGAUGUUUCUAAUUCGUGAUUCCAGUGAGACAAAGAUCUCUUCCAUGUGAUGCAUCUGAAUGGAUGGUUAUUCUUCUUGCCAAUCUUAUGCUUUGUUUUUAGGUGAUAAUUACUUAUAUUAUAUUUUAUUACAUCCAAGUGACAUGAAUGUAAAACGAGCCAGACUUAGUUCUCAUUUUUCUGAGAAAUUAAUGUGGGUUUUUAGUUUGAUUUAUGGAUUGGCUGUGAUUUGGGAGAUGUUAGGUGGUAUAUACACUGUUGGGAGAUGAUUGGAGCAAAAUAAUAAUAUAGAUUCGAUCAAGGUUACGCUCUUAGUUCAUUGACGAUCGAUCUGAAGUCGACAUAAGCGUCAAUCAUCAUUCUGCUCCCAACUGAGGCAUCAAACGGGCAUUGCGCAUGGAUCUCAGGUGACACCAUUAGCAUGUAUUUAAUGUCUUCAGACUUUUUACAUCAUUUAUUGAUAUUUUGGGUUUGCAUUGGUACUUAAUUUACAAAGGAGCCUAUUUUAUUGUUCAAAUCAACACCCUUCCGCAUGCCUUUAAAGAAAGAGAUCCUUCAUGGUUAUUUUAUAGGACUGUUUUGUGGUUAAUCAAAGUGAGCAUAUUGGCCACUCGGUCCGUUGGAAAAUAAAUAAAUAAAUUAUAUAGUCGACUCACACCCUUUUAACACUUUAGAUAUAUUAACGUUUUCUGCCUCUGUAGACUUGAUGGAAAUCAUGCUACGUGUUUAGACAAGAUGCCAAAUGUUGUUCACACCGUUGGCUUGGUAAAAUGUUUGGUUGUUUUGAAAUGCAUAUACCAUGAUCAUUUUGAUGCGAUGUUGUGUGUUUGUGUGUAAGAAAUCAAUAAUACAGCUCCAUUAGGUGUGAAACAUGUGAUUAGUCUGUAAUAUAGUUCAAUAAUAUAAGGUGUUUUGUCACAAAAAAAAAUAUUGUUUUACAUUCAGUUAACCUUUUCUGCAGCUUCGUGAUUGGUUGGAUUUAUCUCUUAAUAACUCUGUUCCAUCUUUGCUCUUGAUUCUUUCCAGGAGGAGGAAGAAAAAGAUGAAGAGGAGCAAGCUAAGUUGAAGCAAUCAAGUGGAAGCAACAAGGAUGUGGCAUUAGAAGAGAUGAUUAAUGCAACAGCUUCAGAUGUGCAAGAACAGGCUAGAGCAAGAGCGCUAGAUAAACAAGAGCAGUUUGUAAAGUCAGCGAAGCUUUGGCUGUUUUAGCUUUUGCAUCUUCUGUGAGUAGGGAGCGUGAAGAGUUUCUGAGACUCGUCAACAAGGAGAUAAAUUUGUAUCAUAGAAUGAUGGACAAAGAAGGCUCUGACACCGUAAAGGCAUAUAAAGCUGCCCAUGAGGAAACCGAUAAUUCCACAGAUGAACAUGUAGCUGAUGGAGUCUCUUCAACACUCAUAAAAAGGGUAUUAUGAGAGAUGGUUUUUUGUUCGUGUUUGUAUUUUGUUCAUUUUUAAUGUCAAAGUUGCAUGGAUCCGAUUGGUUUGAUGCUGAAAGCCUAUAAAAUUACCCUCUUAACUUAAACAUGUCAAGUUAAAAACA